rnacentral:rRNA from 1 species
UACGUAGGGGGCUAGCGUUGUCCGGAAUCAUUGGGCGUAAAGAGCUCGUAGGUGGUUUGUCGCGUUGUUCGUGAAAACUCACAGCUCAACUGUGGGCGUGCGGGCGAUACGGGCAGACUGGAGUACUGCAGGGGAGACUGGAAUUCCUGGUGUAGCGGUGGAAUGCGCAGAUAUCAGGAGGAACACCGGUGGCGAAGGCGGGUCUCUGGGCCGAUACUGACGCUGAGGAGCGAAAGCGUGGGGAGCAAACAGG